GAAACAGCAUUUUAGGUUUUGGUAGAAAAGAAGUCAGAAAAUAAGGGUUCGUUAAAACCCCAGAAGAACUAAAGAUUGGAAUCCCAGGAGCUAGGGAGGGGCGUUUCAAAAAAAAAAAAAUUCUUAGUUUUGCAUGUGCUGCUCCCAUGUAGCUUGUCUUUUUUCCCAUCUUAUACUCAGGCCUUUCUGAGUCUACCUUUUCUACUUGGGGCUGAAUUCUUUGAGGCUUGAAAAUCAUAGCAGUGCUAAUGGCUUUUAUAUUGUCUCUGACCAAAUAUCCUCUCAUUCAUUGUGUAAUCUGAGCUCUACUGAAACCCACCAGAGUGCUUAGGGGCCACUGCAACUCAGCCUGUCCACACCUUCCUUCCCAGUAAGGGCUGUGCUGUUUCAAGCCCAAAACACAUCACAUCAACCGGGUGCUCUUCGUGUAUCCUUAUACACGAUUGCCACUUAAUGUUUUUAAAAUACAAUACAGAUUACAGAAAGGGAAGGGAAGGGAAGGAAAAAGGGGAGGAAAUGCUUGAAAACUUUUAGAGCCUUCCAAAUUUACCAUCAUCAGGAUUUUGUCUAAGUACAUUCUGUUAAAAUUAACCUUCUCCAAUCUCAUCUCUUGUGUCUUCUCUCCGGAAAGCUUGUAAACCUGUUGUUCCCCACCUGUUUACCUGUUAAAAUAUUAUUUGUCCUUCAAAGUCCUCUCAGACUCUUUCCCCUCAAGGUAACUUUCUCAGUUCUUACAGGUGGAAGUUUAUUUAUUCUUUUUUUUUUUUUUUUUUUUUGUCUUUUUGUUGUUGUUGUUGUUUUUAUUUAUUCUUAUGUCUCCCUUGGUACCUAACACAGACCUUGGCCCAGAGCAGUUUCUCAACAGACCCAAUUGAACUGUUUAGCCCUGGUUUGAUUUCUAUAUGUAUAGAAAGACGUUUUUACUAUUUGCAUUUCAAAAAAAAAUACAUCCAGAACUUUCAGGACACAACUUACAAAUUAGGAUGUGCUAGAGUUAACUUAUAGUAUUUUUAAAUAAAUUAUUAGUACUUUAAAGUGCAACCUAUGUAUUAUUCCAGAUGUAAGUUCAUUUCUCUAGGACUUCUACUUUUAAAUAUGUGGAUAAAUCACUGCUACUUUAAGAUUGUCUUUUUAAUUUUAAGAGUUUAAGCCAUUGAUCUUGCUUCUUCUCUAAAUUGAUCUUUUACCUGAUUGACAGUAUUAUUAAUAUGAUGCUCAAUGAGCAUAAGCUUGUUCCAAAGUCUUUAUAUUUAAAAUAAUAACCUGUUUAUUCUAACUGGAGUCUGUUUUCCUGUGUAUAAAGUGAAACUUUUCUUAAAUAUCACUAUUAAUAAUGCAACUGCCUACAGUUUCUUUUCAAGCAUUUGUAAGUUGCACAGGUCUACAUUAGGAAGCUAUCCAAAGAAAUAGUCCGAAAUAGUCCAAAAUAGAGGAAAAGCAAUACAUGUACUCUAAGUCACAUCAUUGUUUUUAAUUAAAGCAGAUAGAAACAACUGGACUGCCCAAAACUUGGGGCUGUUCUAACAAAUAACAAAUGUUUGAAUACAUGCUGGGGACACCCAAACAUGGUAAGCACUGGUUAAGUAGACCAGACUAUAUCCUCAUCACCUAUUACUAUGAUGCCAUGAUUUUUAUGAAUAAUAUGGAUAUUAAAUUGUAUAUACACACAUUACAAUUACUAUGUAUAACAGUAAAAACCUAUGAAUGGG
rnacentral:lncRNA from 1 species